rnacentral:snoRNA from 1 species
CCAGGACUUUUCACAGGUCCUUCCCCUGGCUGUGGCAUCAGGACUUGGUAGCUGGUGCUGAGAGAAAACUCCUGGGUUGCAUCUUUGCCCUGGGGCUGUGCCACUUGUAGCUGUCUGAAUGUAUGGAGAGAGCG